AUGCGUGCGUUGAACGAUUGAAGUAAAAAACAAAUCACUGGUACAGAGACCUGACGGCUGGUGCAAGUCAGGCCACAUUUGUUUUUGAAUUACGGUCCGGAGCAUUCUUCUGGUAUGAAUCAGAAGACGGUUAUGAGUAGCCGUUAUGGAUACAAGUGGCACAAAUGUGCAACAAGGGUGGUACCGCGACGAGAUCUCGUCCCUUUU
rnacentral:ncRNA from 1 species